ACAGAGAACAUUGCCCGUAAGGGUGACUCUCCAACCCUAUGUAAUUAUACCUUUGUUGCUUUGGCGAGCCGCUACGGCCACCGGCUUCUCGCUGGUGAGUGCUCGCCAGAGGACCCUAAACUCUGUUUAUAUGUGUCGUCUGAGUACUAUAUAAUAGUUAAAACUUUCAACAACGGAUCUCUUGGUUCUGGCAUCGAUGAAGAACGCAGCGAAAUGCGAUAAGUAAUGUGAAUUGCAGAAUUCAGUGAAUCAUCGAAUCUUUGAACGCACAUUGCGCCUGGUGGUAUUCCGGGGGGCAUGCCUGUUCGAGCGUCAUUUCAACCCUCAAGCUCCGCUUGGUCUUGGGCCGCGCCGGCAACGGCGGGCCUCAAAAACAGUGGCGGCGCCAUCGUGUCCCUCAGCGUAGUAAUUCUUCUCGCUGUUGGGCCCCGGUGGCCGCUGGCCAGCAACCCCCAAUUUUCUAUGGUUGACCUCGGAUCAGGUAGGGAUACCCGCUGAACUUAA
rnacentral:rRNA from 1 species